AGAUGACAGGUUAAUGGAUGUAUAAAUGAUUAAAUAAAAAAAGAGACUUGUGUAAAAUGGUACAUAUUUUAAAAGAUUGGAAAGUGUUCUACCAUGCAUAUGAAAAGAUUGAAUGACAUAUUUUGAAACAUUGGAUAUAAUAAACAGUUUCAUAUAGGUUAACAUUUGAAGUGAAUAAAUAAAGGACUGUUCUCAAAACAAAAUGGCGGAUAUUUCCCGUGAAAUAUCUUCACGAUACGAAUCAAGAGAAUUCAUAUUAAGAAAGGAAGAAACGUGGAAGCAGAAGAAACAGCCGUUAGCGUGUUUUUGGGAUUAACUGGUCAAGUUACUCUUUUUCUUGACAGGAUUAGCAUGGUGCCGGCAUGAAGGAUUCAUAAUCCUCUUUUACCGCCUUUGUUCUUCGGCACCCGCGUUACUUUUCGCCAGCAACCAACGAACUCGGCUGCACAAAAAAUUAGUACACGUUUUAAAAACCGUUCGCGUUUAACAAACCACCCGCUGUUAACAUGUGUACGCAUCGUCUCUCAUUAAUCAACUAUAACGUACUGUUUUAAUCAUUUUAGCGAGUUCUUUUAUUUUUCGAUGGGUUCUCGAAACUUACUUUCGGGGUGAGCGUAUCCUUUACAUCUCCGUGCAAAGAGGUGGCAAUUAAAGAUUCGAAUCUUGAUAAAGUUAAAUUAUAAGGAACGGAUAUAACUUUUUGUGGAUUUUAUUAUUUCGAUACGUUUUAAGUAUGCUUUUAAUUAAAAAGUAAGGUAAGUAUUACUAAUUGCAAGGUGGUUUGAGAAAAUACUUUUAUAUUUAUUUCUUUUCCA
rnacentral:lncRNA from 1 species